rnacentral:rRNA from 1 species
UACGUAGGGUGCGAGCGUUGUCCGGAAUUAUUGGGCGUAAAGAGCUCGUAGGCGGCUUGUCGCGUCGGAUGUGAAAGCCCGGGGCUUAACUCCGGGUCUGCAUUCGAUACGGGCAGGCUAGAGUUCGGUAGGGGAGAUCGGAAUUCCUGGUGUAGCGGUGUAAUGACGCAGAUAUCAGGAGGAACACCGGUGGCGAAGGCGGAUCUCUGGGCCGAUACUGACGCUGAGGAGCGAAAGCGUGGGGAGCGAACAGG